AGAAUCAACGCUGGCGGCGUGCCUAACACAUGCAAGUCGCACGAGAAAGAGGACUUCGGUCCUUGAGUACAGUGGCGCACGGGUGAGUAACACGUGAAUCAUCUACCUUCGAGUGGGGAAUAACUGAGAGAAAUCUUAGCUAAUACCGCAUAAUACCUACGGGUCAAAGCAGCAAUGCGCUUGAAGAGGAGUUCGCGGCAGAUUAGUUAGUUGGCGGGGUAAUGGCCCACCAAGACGAUGAUCUGUAUCCGGCCUGAGAGGGCGCACGGACACACUGGAACUGAAACACGGUCCAGACUCCUACGGGAGGCAGCAGUGGGGAAUUUUGCGCAAUGGGGGAAACCCUGACGCAGCAACGCCGCGUGGAGGAUGAAAUAUCUUGGUAUGUAAACUCCUUUCGAUGGGGAAGAUAAUGACGGUACCCAUAGAAGAAGCCCCGGCUAACUUCGCGCCAGCAGCCGCGGUAA
rnacentral:rRNA from 1 species